AACGAACGCUGGCGGCAUGCCUAACACAUGCAAGUCGAACGAGACCUUCGGGUCUAGUGGCGCACGGGUGCGUAACGCGUGGGAACCUGCCCUUAGGUUCGGAAUAACUCCCCGAAAGGGGUGCUAAUACCGGAUAAUGUCUUCGGACCAAAGAUUUAUCGCCUUUGGAUGGGCCCGCGUUGGAUUAGCUAGUUGGUAGGGUAAAAGCCUACCAAGGCGACGAUCCAUAGCUGGUCUGAGAGGAUGAUAAGCCACACUGGGACUGAGACACGGCCCAGACUACUACGGGAGGCAGCAGUGGGGAAUAUUGGACAAUGGGCGAAAGCCUGAUCCAGCAAUGCCGCGUGAGUGAUGAAGGCCUUAGGGUUGUAAAGCUCUUUUACCCGGGAUGAUAAUGACAGUACCGGGAGAAUAAGCUCCGGCUAACUCCGUG
rnacentral:rRNA from 1 species